CGCUGAAUAUAGCACACAGAUACUCAGAAGGUACGGAAAGAUAAGUCAGAAGCCAAAACUCAGUUACCAUUAUCAUGCAAAGGAACAACAUCACUCUUGGUAAAAACAAAUGACUUAGCAUGUGACCAAUACUGCUUUUCUUAAGUACUGCAGAGAAAAGGCUGAUAAUCACCCUCUAUCAAGCCCUACAAGUAGGAGACCUAGAAAUGGUUACUGACCAUUGUUAUCUCUCAAGGAGUUGAAGCAAACUGACCUUACACAUUGGAGUUCGUUAGCACUCGCCAACACAGAUUACAAAAUAUAGGGAGGAAUUCUCCUCGGGACAUUAAGCAAUAUUUGCAAAUGUGUGCAGGUAAGUGUUGACUACCUGAUCACUCUGACCAGGAAAUGCUUCUCAGCAACGGUGUGAUCUCUUUUUCAAAGUGGAAAACAUGAAUAUUAUUGUCACCAGCUCGUCGCGGGGAGGCACGGCGGAAGGGACCAGCGAAGACUGCAGCUCUUACGAGAGGAAAUGGAAAUCCAACUGACAACAAAUAUUCGUUGAGCACUACACUGUGCUAGGCACAUGAGAACUAAUACCUCCAUGGCUGAUAAAGCCUUUCAGAAAUGUUGGCAUCAUUACUCCUUGGCUGAGUUACUCCAAGAACCUCUGCGUUCUCAAUCGUUAAAAUGGAAAUACAAAUGCCUACCACAUACGGUUGUUGUAAGGAUUCGGUGUGUCAAAAAAGCGAGACACGGUGCCGGGCACAUAGCAGGUCCUCAGCCAAGGGUCUUGAAAAAAUCCAGGAAACACCUUUACAUGCCUUGGCCCAGAUUUGCCUUCCUGUCCUCUUCAUCUUGACAACUGUCCCCGGCCCGGAGUAACUGACCUGCCGGCCCCAGCCCCUCCGGGUGAGAACUGC